UCAAGGAAGUGACAUUUAAAAAAUUUCAGAUUGAUCUUAAGCAUGAGGAUCUUGCUUCUCUCUUGUUUUUUUCAGGUUGCUUCUGAGUCAAAAAGUCAAUUAUUUAUCACCAUUUUACUGAUGGGGAAAUGAAACAGAGAAGAAAGGACUUGUCUUAGUCACAUGGGAAGUCUGUGGCAGUUCUGGGUCCUCAUCUGAAGUGGAAAUACAUUGUGUGCUGAGAUGUGGAGACUCCAGUUUAUUGUCCUGCAGCACACAGCCCUCCUGAGAAGACAGGAAAGAGAAUAAGAUUCCGAAACUUAGCUUCAAAUGUUCAUUGCAGGGACUGACAGUAAAGGAGUUUUAUUAGGUUUGGAGAGAGCCUUCUUUGGACCUUCCAUCUGAAACCAUCUGGAGGAAAAUGCUUUUGCUUUUGGCCGGUUUUGGCUGUGUUCCUGCCCUGCCACGUGGAGCUCCUCAGCCUGGAGGUCGGGCUUGGCAAACGCAGCCUCGUGUCGUGAAACCCACAGCUGUGGGCAGAGUGGCUUCUCUUUGACAUUUCUCGAGUGAGUAAGACCUGUCUGGAAUUUCUGAAGGAUUUUCUGCUAUCUCGGGUGUCUGCUGUCUGCUGCAGAAACAGUUUUUCUACGGUAUUAUAGCAAAUUUUCCAUGGAUCGAUCAUCACCACCACCGCUUCCCCUACAGAUAAUGCAUAUCUGGGAAUAAAGCUCCUCAGGGCAGCUACCCAGGCUUCCCUCUUUGAAAGGGUCUUUUCUGAAAGAUGACACACAUGGACUCACAUCUUAAUAUUUAUUUAUUUUUUUUUUCUCUGAAAACAUCUGAGUCACAGUUGUGUGAAUAACAGGACACAUUAAGGAGCAAAUGAUAUAUCUGGUACAAGUGAGCUCACUGUCCCAGCUUACUAGACGAAUGUUUAUACAUUCAAAUAAGCAGCACACUCAGCUCCUGGGCUGAUCUGUGCAAGACAGCCAAUGCGCUGUCUGGUUACAUCAUGGUGAUGCUGAGCAUGACAUGCACCAGUGGUAACAAGUGGAAGAACAAAGCUGUAGAGCUGUGUGCAGUCUGUGGCAAGGUAAUGGACACUUGAGGAAUCUGGCUGCUGGGAGCAGGAGUGGGGGAAAAUUAUAUUCACAGGGUAAAAUUUAGCUCCAGAAAUCCAGUUUCUGAAUCUGGACAGUCUGUGAACACACUUUUCUUGUUUUUUCCCUUCCCUUCCCUUCCCCCUUCCCUUCCUUCCCUUC